rnacentral:rRNA from 1 species
UACGGAGGGUGCAAGCGUUGUUCGGAAUUACUGGGCGUAAAGCGCUCGUAGGCGGAUUUGUAAGUCAAUUGUGAAAGCCCUGGGCUCAACCCGGGAAUUGCAGUUGAAACUGCAAAUCUUGAAUACCUGAGAGGGUGACGAAAUUCCUGGUGUAGAAGUGAAAUUCGUAGAUAUCAGGAGGAACACCUGAGGCGAAAGCGGUUGCCUGGCAGUGUAUUGACGCUGAGGAGCGAAAGCGUGGGGAGCAAACAGG